GGAGAGAUGACCGAGUGGUUGAAGGUAACGGUCUUGAAAACCGUCGUGCCAGCAAUGGUACCGUGGGUUCGAAUCCCACUCUCUCCGCCA
rnacentral:tRNA from 1 species